AGGACGAACGCUGGCGGCGUGCUUAACACAUGCAAGUCGAGCGGUAAGGCUCCUUCGGGAGUACACGAGCGGCGAACGGGUGAGUAACACGUGAGCAAUCUGCCCUUCACAUUGGAAUAACUUCGGGAAACCGAAGCUAAUACCGAAUACGACCACCGAUGGCAUCAUCUGGUGGUGGAAAGUUCCGGCGGUGAAGGAUGAGCUCGCGGCCUAUCAGCUUGUUGGUGGGUGAUGGCCUACCAAGGCGACGAC
rnacentral:rRNA from 1 species